AGAAAAUAACAAUUUGACUUGUACUUCAAACAAUAAAUCACUUCUUACUGUUGAAGUUAGUCUACAACAUGUUGUUGUUUUUAGGUUGAACAAUGAGGAACCUGUAACUCUGAAAUAUAAGUUACUGUUUCUAUGGGUCAUAUCAAAAUGUGCCAAUUUGUCAUAAUAUCCACACAUUGCUGAAUGAUAAGGAAACAUAAACUCGUGAGAAAUAGUCGCAGAAUAGAUUCACUUCUUGUCAUAAGGUUUAUGUUCAUGGUAGCGAAACAUACUAACACCAGCACAUUUUACUAUAUACUACUACUCCCUAACAAUAUGGCAAAGAGUUCUGCGCAUUGGUAUUUGUAAGCAACCGUGUAUGAACAUUUUUCGUCGUGCCGCUGCAGUGCAACUGCCAGAACUUGUUUUGUUUGGCAAGGAAAAUUAAAGUUUUAGUUUCUUCCUUAGCAUUCAAUCGGAUCUCGCAUCCCAAUUUUGUAAUACAGAGAUAGCUGGUUGGCGUCUGCUGCAUCCUUAACAUCUGCGCAUCUGCGACUACACUAUUCGCAACUGCGUUGUAGAAAUACUCGCAAUUAUUGUCCCACGAAAUAAUAUCAGUCCGCCAAGUGUUUUUCCAGCCAGAAUAAAGAAUCAUCCGUACCGGUUGAGGUUAAAACCAGCGAAACUUGUCGUUCUAUCGAGUGUGACAUGGACAAUGAAACCUGUAACGGUGACUCCUGUAAAGAAGAACCAGGAAUCCCACGAUGACUGACUACGACCUCGAAUGACUACGGAAGCCACUCCCGUAACGACUGCGGCUAUGGUUGGGGCUGGCCAGAAGCGGAAGGCUAGUGGACACAAAAACGACGAUGAAGACGAUGCUGAUGCUGAUUAGGAAAAGGAAGUGCAGUAACCCCCAGCCGAAAACGGAAAUUAUGACUAUUCUGGGGAUUACUUAGUGAAGACUGGCGUUUGUUUGAGCUUGUUUCUGGUGGUGGUUUGCACAAAAUGCACAAGCCGUAAAAUGUAUCAUUCAAUUGUUAGUCAAUUAGUUUUUAGAAUACAAUCUCAGUGAAUAGAAUAAGAAACACGGGAAAGAAGAUUAAAAAUAAUUCGAUGCACAUA